AACGAACGCUGGCGGCAUGCCUAACACAUGCAAGUCGAACGAGACCUGCGGGUCUAGUGGCGCACGGGUGCGUAACGCGUGGGAACCUGCCCUUAGGUUCGGAAUAACUCCCCGAAAGGGGUGCUAAUACCGGAUAAUGUCUUCGGACCAAAGAGUUAUCGCCUUUGGAUGGGCCCGCGUGGGAUUAGCUAGGUGGUAGGGUAAAAGCCUACAAAGGCGACGAUCCAUAGCUGGUCUGAGAGGAUGAUCCGCCACACUGGGACUGAGACACGGCCCAGACUCCUACGGGCGGCAGCAGUGGGGAAUAUUGGACCAUGAGCGAUAGCCUGAUCCAGCCCUGCCGCGUGAGUGCUGCAGGCCUUAGGGUUGUAAAGCUCUUUUACCCGGGAUGAUAAUGACGGUACCGGGAGAAUAAGCCCCGGCUAACUACGUG
rnacentral:rRNA from 1 species